CUUGGACAACGGGUGGGUGAGGGACGUCUGGUUCUACUGCGCGUGUGCGGCAACUCGCUCGCACGUCCCGGUUAUGCAGUGGAGUUUUGUCAAUGUCAUCAUAACCGCAGAUUUAAAAGGCUGAAAUACACACCCCGGACUCUUGAUAUAACGGUGUCAAGACGUGAGGUGAGAUCUCCUAACCUCGGGUCUUCAGGAUGUGAUGGGCGGAGUAAACUGGGAUGACAUUUCGUGACAAUCUGUAACCCGGGUUUAUGAGGUUACAGGAGGAGUGCAGGGAGGUCUUUAAGAACGAGUGAAUAACUAUCAAUAUGAAACAAUAAUCCGAGAAGUGUGAUGUAAAAGAUACUAUACAUAGUAUCUGCCGUCUUUAAAUUUAAAAUUGUGACUAAAGUGCCAAGCCAAAGAGGUAGUUCAACACCAAAGCAGAUCCCAGAACAGCUGAUUUGGCAACGAAGCGAACUCCGGCAACCUUCGGAACGCGAGGAGGUGAGCGAGCGCCGCGCCGGACGAGCCCCGACCAGCGGUAAGGCCUGAGGAAGCCGUCUGCAUUUCCCUUGCUCGUCGCGUAGCAGACAUCUGUUGCAGCGCUGGCGUGAGUGCGGUGCAAAGAAUAUUAUUAUUAUUAUUACUAUCGCUGUUGUUGUUGCUUCAGUUGUGAGUAAUGGUGUUAUUGUUCUAUUGUUAUUGUUAUUGUUUUUGUUA